rnacentral:lncRNA from 1 species
CUGCCAUUCCUCUCUACGUGUUUUAUCCACUGAAUGUGGGGUUGAGCAUCACUGUAGACUUUGCAGACAAACUCGACAUCACCUCCGACUACAGCCGAGGCGUUUGCUGGAAGGCCAGCCUGGAGGAUGGGCCUGUGCGGUGAUCGCUCGACAACAUCGAGAUGGUAAGUGUGGUUGAUGGAGCCAUACUGGUUUUCCACGAUGCACGUGUAAUUUCCUUUGUCGGAUGGGACUACGCUCUCCAUGAUGAGACUCCAGUGCUGGUUGCGGACCUUAUAGCCGCCAAUACGAUGUUCUUGUUUAAACUCUUUCCCAUUUUUCAGCCAUCUCAUGGUUGGUGUUGGGUUUCCCAUGGCUGGGCAACGAAACUUGACAGUGUUUGCUGCUGGCACUGCGUGUAACCUUUUCUCCAUUUUGUCUGUGUGUGUCCAAUAGGGCGCCCUCAUCUGGUUGCUGUCAUUCACAAAGUCCUCAGACCCAUCAUUGUCAUCUUCAUCAUCCCCAGAAGAAAGAGCAUCUGUAACAUUUACAAUGAAGUACAGAGUAUCACUGUCUAGGGUCCUAAUAGCAGUGCAAGCAUAGAGGCCCGAAUCUCUGGGUGAAGCAUCUUUAAUUUGUAAGUACUCCCCAAUAAUCACUGUCCUAUUGUCGGGCCCCAAGGGGACCCCAUCCUUAGUCCAACUGAUCAUGACGGCGUCUUUCAAUUGACAGCGCAACUCAAGUGGUUCUCCUGGAAGUGCAGAGUGUACAUCUGGCUGAGAGAUUUGGUAUUUGGUUGGCGGCUCUUCGGGUUCCAAAGUGGCAUCUUCAACAACUAAGUUAAAUGACGGUCGAGCCAGGGAAAGUCCAGCCAUGGUGACCACCACCAGGCAGAUAAGGCAACCCGAAUCCCAGCUGACCAUCUUUUUAGAGUAAGUUCCUGGUCCAUUUCCAUAUCUCCAUGUGGACUUUAAUCCCAUCUGAGCACCUCUACAGGAGCAUGGACAGAACGCAGUGCCUUCGGCCAGGGCAAUCCCUCCUCACCGGGAACGGCAGCGGCUGCAGCCGGAGGGCUCCGCGGGAAGGCUCCGCCGAGGCGAAGCGCCGAGCGGCGGCGGCUCCGCGGCACGGGGGGACGAAGCGCUCCGCGGCCGCGCUCACUCGGCGGGCAGCCCCGGCGGGGCGGGCUGGGGGCCCCGCAGGGCAGCGCGGCGCAUCCCCCGCGGGGCGCGGGGCUGGCGGCGGCGGGGCGGCGAGGCAGGAGCCCGCCCGGCGUCCCGUCCCCUCGCUGCGCUGCGGCGCUACCGCCUCACAGGGGCGAGCCCGCCGUGCCCGGCGCCAGCAGCCUCCUCCCCCGCGCGGGCAUCGCUGCGGGUCCUGCUCCGCUCCAUCCAGCCGCCCUCCCCGUGCCGCCGCAGCUUUGUCAAGCCGACAACCCCCCCUUUUUUUUUCUUUUUUUUUUUUUUCCCCUCUUUUUCCCCCUCCCUCUCUCCCUCUCUCUCUCUCUCUC